GAGAGAAUUCAUGAAUGACAACACUAAUGCCGCAUAUUUAAACUUAUGUAGAUUUUGGAAAAUUCUCCCUCAAAUGUUCCUAGUUUCUGGAAAAGUAUUUGUUGAACGAAAGAGAAGAAAGAACAAAUGAAAUUUAUAUGCCUUCUUUUCACUUUCAACAGUUUUCUUCAACCUUAAAACAAUUGCUCUGAAGGCACUGAAAUAAGAUAUCUUCAUUUUUCUAUAUCAGUGUUCCCCAGCUUACCUGAUCACAAGAAUUACUGCCAGUACUUCUUAAAAAUAACACAUAUCUCUUUGGCUUCAGCUUAGCAUAAUGAAUAGCAACAGACUUUCGUAAGCUGGGCACUCCUGGUAGAAACACACCUGAAAUCAUCCUUGUAAUGAUUUCUGGCUAACGAAGUAUACGAGACUGACUUGUGUUACCUUGACUAAACUCCAAACCUUCCAUGGAGUCAACGGAAUAAAUCAGAUCCAUUACAUUACAAUCUGAGCCUCUCUUUUGGGGGGCACGGAAUUUAUUUCCCAUUGUCUUCUGGCAGCAUCAUUAAUUUCUAAUAGAAAGGCCAGGAACCUACAUUUUCCCACCUUUAAUUGGCAUUCAUUAAGCACCAGCUAUGGCUGCGCAUGGAAUGGGAUAGAACAUGGAUGACAUGUGACCGCUAGACAAUGACAAUUUCACAGCAGAUACGCAGGCUGAACGUCGUUACUUUUAUGUCUUCUAUAAGCUCCUAUGUAGUGAAAUUCAUUUAAUAAUUUUCACGACAUACCUAUUCAAUAAAUGAGUAAAUCAAUACAUGAGAAGUGAAUUCAGACUGUAACAGAGAAGUAAUAAUCCAAGGAGCUUCCCAUCUUGGUAGUUUUUUCUGGAUGUAAAAAUUAUUGUGAACCGUAGUAACAGGCAUGGAUCGAAAAGCACCUUCUAGGUUACAGUUAACAGUCUUCACCGUCUUGUCUUUUCUUCGUGGGAAACCGCUGAGACAGUGCAGCCCUCUUGUCUUGACAAACGGGACCAUGAAAAGCUUAAUUAAAUGUGACGGGGUCCUCUUAAAAGUGAGCUGGCACUCUCACUAAUGCCAAGUUGACCCUGCAAUGCAAGAUGCAACAGUCUGGAGACCUGGAUUUGGAAGGGGCAACUUUGCACACAGACUUCACCACUCGCAGCUCCACAGUCACCACUUUCAGCUCUGGAUCACGCCGAUUGCUUUCUCACUUACAGAGUGUAUGUGAGACAGUAACGGGCGUAGCAGAGGACAGCUGGAGACACCGAGUGAGCUGUUAGAAGGUCGUUGGAUUUUUAUACGCGAGUUCUGGUGUGCAUCAGAAAUCAAGAUCUUCAGCCACAGAAGGUUGCCACGCAGCGCCCAAAGCAGGAGUUCAACAUCAGAGCUAAGUUAGAGACAUCCAGAUGCGGGAAGCUGUUCUGACCACCGUGGAGCUAACACUGCACUUCCCCUCUCACCAUGGUAACCGUCCCCCUAGGUACAGGUACAGGUAAAAAUUUCUUUAGUUGAGACUUUUCUGCUUUGCUAUGUGAAUAGGUUUAUUUUCCCUUAAGCAUGUGAGAAGCAAGAUUUCUUGUAGCUUAUAGAGACUUUAGAAAUCACAUCUCAAUUUGUCAGGCUUCAUAUACUAAUAGAUACCAGCUGGGAGAAAUACCGGGGUCUCUCGUACGUUCUGCUGUUGGGAUAGGAGGACCUGGGUUUGAACAACAAUCUUCAUUGCCAAGUUCUGACGUCGUCAUUUGUAAAACGGACACCUUGAAGGAUCCCGGAUGUUUCUACAUGAAUGAGACGUGAGUGGUAUCAGUCCGCACCCAGCUGGCACAAGAAGGUGCUCAGGAAGUGUAUUCAGAGUCCUAUCACCGUGUGUGCAUGCUUUGCAUAAAAGAAGACAAGUACACAGCCAGUACGGGCAUCUUCAACUCCGUGGUACCGAGUCAAGAUUACCCAGUGCUUCACACACCACUGCAGCGGGCACAGAGACACUGAGGACAGCCUGGCACUCUUUCGAUGUGCCAUGCUCUGUGCAGGCUCAGAAGCAUGAAGUCAGCCCUGAGCUCUUUCUUCUGAUUACUGAAUUCUCCAGUGUGCUUUUCACUUCAGCAAACCAGGCUGCAGUGACCACAAGGGCAUAGUUCUUAAAACAUUCAUAACAAUUUCAAAUUGUUUAAAAAUAUGUAGUUUACAUUGUAUACAUGUCUAGAAUCCCAGAUACGCAGUCCAUUUUAAACUUCAACCUUCUUUUUUUUUUAACUUGGAAAACUACUAAUUGUCUUUUAAAAAAUUAUCAAAUUAAACCACAUGCUUAGACUAAGUCUAGAAUUUGCUCAUUUUAUCGUACUUGUUAGGUAACGAAUGGCAGAAAUUGCAGUUGUCUCUCUGUCCCUGGCUGUAUUGUUAAUUGUGAGCAUAGAUUUUAUUUGCCAUGGUUUGGCAGUGUUUGCCACAAUGCUGAGUAGCUAGUAGAUGCAGAAGUGAGUAAGGCCCUGUUGUUUUUUUUUUUUUUUUUAAUUCAACAAACCUUUGUGGAGCAUAAAUAUUGUAUAGAGUAUCUGUAGUUUUCAGUAACAAGAAAAGAGACAGAUAGCUCAAAAUUUAGACACAGGUAUGCCUGAACAUAGACACACAUAAAACAUAUACAUUGCAACACUGCUAAGCAAUGCAGAGACAUAGAAUAUUUUACUGAACUUUCCUGAAUAGCAGGGGUUGUUUUAGAGAAGUUAUUUGCUGAACAGCAUAUAUUAGAUUAGAACAUUUGGCUAAGAAUAAAUAUAGUUGAGUUUGUUUCAAGAUAGAGUUCAACAUAACUUAUAUUUCAAGUAAAAUUCACCAAGAACCAGUGAAUUACUAGAUUUACUGAUUGCCAUUGUCUUUUACAUGUUCUAUGUGUCUCCUUCGAGGGUAACCAUAGUCUAAGCUCCCUUAGAAAUAUUUGUUAAAUAUUCUGGUUAUUAAAAAUAAAUUUGAGUACAUGACCAAGGGUCUAAGCACGGGACCUUAGUCUCCUAGCGUGUGAUGAUACUAAAACAGGACAAACAACAUGAGACCGUAUCGUGAAACCUGUCUGAUUUGAAGUCUAAGUGCUUGGAGGAAGACCUUUUAUUGCACUAAAGCCGAAAAGACAAACGCAGUGACUUGUGGAAAAGAACUCCAGCUCAGAGAUGAUUGGGGUGAGAGAAAGUUGUCAUUUCCAAAAAAUGGAAAAAAAAAGGAAAGGGAAGAAAAACAAGGACAGCUUGCCAGGGAGAUGAAAAUUAAAAGCAGGCAAAAGUUUUUUAAAAAG